UUGGUUUUGAUUCAAAAGCGUAAUUCGUAUGUGACAUCUGUUUCAGCAACUUCUGGAAAAUGGGUCCCUGAGCAAACCUCAUGUAAUUAAACUGGAUACUCAACCUUAGAUUAUGUCCAAGGCAAAUUAUCCAGUCACCCAGAUGAGUGCAGGACUUGGGGGAAUUAAAGGGAACCAGCAUGGCUGGAAGAUGCUACAGUGAAACCUUCCCUCUCCUGUGCUUCCGGGUCUGUCUUGUGAUCCUUCUGUGUCCACAGAGAAGCUGGGCUUCCACGUCUUCCCCUAGGUAACUAGGUCAAGAGGAAUUUUUAAAACAUGGGGGAAAAUCAGGGCAAUUAUGCUCACAUUACAGAUGCACUUGACCCUGGCUUACUCCCUUAGGUCAGGAACGCACCUGUACCUUUGACCAAGGGUGAUAGGAAUCCAGUUCGCUCCAUUAUCACUGGAUCUGAACACACAGGAGAAAGGACAGUGAACUAUACCUAAAGAAGACUCACAGGUCUUUUUUUGUCAGAUAAAUCAUACUUACGACCCGAGAGCUUCUGUUGCUCUUUAUGAUUCACUGGUCAACCAUGAAAGAACAAAACAAAUGCUGAAAUUUCAGACAACAGUGCAUUGGUGAUUCUUUCCAGGAGACUGUGGUCUCUCAAAGAAUCAGAGGUAAGGGAUGGUAGCUUCUGCAGAGAUUCUGUAGCCCAGCUCCUUCCUCUUUACAGAUGAGAAAAUUCGACUCAGAAAGGAAACACAACAACGUAUGAAAUCAUGAGAAUUCUUUGAUUUAAAUAAACCAACACUACAAACCCAUCUUCAUCUUCUGAAAUCCUUCUUUGGUAGGAAGUCAUGCCAAUUCUACCAGCAUUUGCCCGGGUACAGACUGCAGAAGUGGCCCUAUGCGAUGCUCAUCGACCUUGCAGGUAAAAUUAUUCCGGGAUUGAAGAAUUUGGGGUGAAAUUAGAUUUAAAGAGAUUUCUUUGUUACAGGGUUUCUCAAGUUCUUGAAUUGUGCCAACAUGCUUUAUGAAUCUUCCAAGUUAGAAGGCAGAUGGUUUGGAUUUACUAACUCCUGUAACUCUUUUUAUGAACAGCUGGGAGACUGGUGUGGUCUGAGAAACACACUUUGGGAAAUACUGAAUCAGACAUUUUUAAUGGAGGCUCUUUCUGUUAGAACGAGUUCACCAUUGAAUACCUGAAUUGAAAGACCUUCAAUUCUAUGAGACUUUCUGGACUGGUGGUUCUUGAUCCUGGCUGCCCAUUAAA